UUAAGGUGCUUGGAACUGAUUAGGUCCUCUC
rnacentral:piRNA from 1 species